UCCUUGGACAAAAGUAGCAAUCGCAACCUUUAUCUCUAUGCUCUUAGAUGGUGGAAAGAAGCGAGCAAGAAAUUUGUGUUCCACAUCCUCCCAACUAGUCAAACUUUGAUUAGGCUGUGACUGAAGUCAAGCCUUUGCUUUGCCAUUCAGAGAAAAUGGGAAGAGUCUCAUAUACAAUGCUUCUUCCUCCUCCCCCAUUACACCCACAGAGCCACACAAUUCAUAGAAAGUGACCAAAUGAGCAUGAGGGUCUUCAUUAUCCAUGCC
rnacentral:lncRNA from 1 species